UUAAUGUAUAUUAUUAUAUUAAAAAAAAUUUGUAUGCGUCUCCAAAAUCUCAGAACCGGCACUGGCGGACCCCAAGCUAUUCACUGAUCCUUUACGGUGUAGUGUUUAUGCCAUCACCAGAUUCACCGCUACGUACAGAUUUAUCUCCUCCGGCAACUGCAUCUGAAGCUUUUCUCCGGUUAAAUGUUUGAAUUGACGUUUGUACACCUUUCUUUUGUGGAUUGAUCAUUAUAUCCUUGAUCCAACAAACCAUAUAGCAUAAUCUAAGAGCAGGAUUAUCCCUGUCUCUUAGAUGGGUCUCUUAACCUAUUUAGGAUUUUAAAAAAAAUGAAAAAUAGAAAUAAACCUUACAGACGUCUCCUAAUUAAGAGAAAGAAGAAACGUAUCUUGUUUCGUCUUCUGCUUACCGGAAAAGAGGAAGGGGAGUUGAUUACUCUGUAAGAGCCAUUGUCUACGUCAAUCUGAAGAACAAAAAUAAUAAUCUGAUUGAUUUCUUUCUAAAUCUGAAUCUAACACUCUCUGAAUCUUCAAAAAAUCGAAUCAUUGCAGAUGGAUUAAGCUUGUCGUGAAACUUCCGAUGUUGCAUUCGGUGACGGUUCCGACAGGAAAGCUAAUCAGAGACGAAGAGCUCGGAGCGAUAUCAGACGACGACGACGAUUUCCCCUGUGGAAAGCGAUCAAAGCUCGACCGGUUCCCUCUCAGCGUCUUCCUCGUCUUCUCCUCUGGUCUCUUCUGCAUCUACAUCACCAUGCCCGCUGCAGAAUCCGGAAAGCUCAAGCUUCCCAAGAAGCAUCUCUGAUCUCCACUCGCUCAAGUGUUUGAAAAGCUCUUCGAGGCAUUUGAGAACUACAUUAUGGAUAUACACAAAACAAAAGUUUCGCAGUUUCUGAUGUUCUAUGCAUGUUCACUCGAUCCUGAAAACUGUGGUGUGAAAUUUGCGGUUAAGCUGAUGGACAUUGGCGAUCAUGUAUGUGCUCUGCUUCCGGAUGACAUCCAUCCUAGCUGUUCCUCGCUUUCGGUCUGAGCUUAUACCAUUGGAGUCAAUUUUAAUGCACAAAGUAAACCCGUUAAAAGAAACUAUAUGCUUGAUGGGCUGAAGUUGGCCACUGGACUCGCCGUCUCCGCAGAACAGGGAAGUGAUGAAGGCUCGCUAGAGCUACUGUGUGGCAAGUGUGUUAAAAAAAACGGGACACAUGUCCCUAGUGUUGUUAACCCGACCCAACUUACCAAAUGGAUCCAGAUGUUCAGAAUUGUGUUAUGCGCAACACGUGCGUCUGGUCUGCACUUAGCAAAUUGGAAAAAAAAUUGAAGAUUAACCAGAGAUUUAUUUUAUACAGUUUUACUAUAUAUAUAUUAUUAUUUGUAUGGAGAAAAUUAAGAUAUGGCAUAGUCUAGCGGGUUUGAGUAAGCGUAUAUGCUUAUAGAGGCCAUGGGUUCGACCUAUGCAGCAUUUGGUUUGGCUAUUUUAUUCCUUUUUUCUUUAAUGAACAUGAAAAUAAUGUUGUCUUUUUAGGUCAGAAACCUUAAUUCUUCGUAUCUGAUUUUUACGUGAUUCUUGGCCGUUUUGAUCUUGAACUUAGCACAUGAUUUUAAGCUUCUAACUUAGGAAAAGGUUGAUUUUUGGUAUGAAAUCUGAUUUCUUGGAUGAUUUAGUGCAAAACACCACGGUUCCUUGCCGGUUAGCGUUUAAACGUCUAGUAAACGUCCAAAUCGGCCGUGUUUUAGAAACUUGUGUUGAUAAGUCUUUUUCAAUCUUUAUGAUCUUUGAACAUGUCAGUAUUAAAAAUGAUUAGACUUGUGUUUAUUGUUUUGUCAUUCUGUAAUUGAUGGUUAAGGUAGCUAAGCUUAAUUACUAUGUACAAUGACAUUACAUGGCCUCAUGAGUAAGCAUUGACUUGGAUCUAGACUGAAGAUCAUGAAGACUACUAUAUAUAUAUAUUCUGCAGACGUGUGUGGUACGCAAACCAAAAUGUAAUGUGGACAAAGAAACAUCUUGUUGUGUAGACUCCAAUUAAACAUAACAUUCUAUUAGUAAAUGGCAAUUAUUAAAUUUUCAUAAUCAUAGACAUCCAAGAUCCCAUGUUGACGUCCAAAUACUAAAAAUAGUAAGUACAUUGUAAUAGCAUUUCCCCCUUUUGAUAUUAUACCUUUCACUUAAUGGAGAAUUAAACUGUACAGACGAUCACUAUGAGAUGGUCUUAUUAACCGUUGGAACGUUUUCUCCCGAUUGUGCUCCCAAGUUUUGAACUUCACCUGAAGAUUGCAAACAUCGGUUUGGAUUUAGGCCAGAUGAAGAACCAACUGAAAACACUUCACCAACACCAAUAUGAAGGCUUAGACGAACCAUUCAUUAAAAAGAAGAAAAAGGAAGGAUAGACGAACCAAUCAAAUUUUGUCAGAUCACCAUCAAAUUAUCAUUAUAGCGACCAAAUCAAUAACACAUUUUUUUUUAAUAUUACAUUCCUUUUCAUGCAACUGAAACUCGCCAGAGUAAACGUAUAUAACUUUAGAGAGAAAUAAACCGAGUGUUUUUAACUUUCCUAGGAAUGAAAGCCUAACAAUUUAGCAUAUUUUCUCAAGCAUAUUUCAUAUUGUUCUAACCAAGACAUGUUACUCUUAUAACAUGACUAAGGGGGCGACUGGUUUUCCCGCUACCAUCCGCAAACACAGCUUUUGCGGUUGGUAGCGGUUGUCAGCGGUUUGCAACAAUCACUCAAAUCGUUCUAAACCGCUUCGAAUCUCAUAAAUCCAAAACCUGGC